rnacentral:rRNA from 1 species
UACAGAGGGGGCAAGCGUUGUUCGGAAUUACUGGGCGUAAAGGGCGCGUAGGCGGCCUUCUAAGUCGAACGUGAAAUCCCCGGGCUCAACCCGGGAACUGCGUCCGAUACUGGAAGGCUUGAAUCCGGGAGAGGGAUGCGGAAUUCCAGGUGUAGCGGUGAAAUGCGUAGAUAUCAAGUGGAACACCAGUGGCGAAGGCGAGUCUCUGGACAUUUCCUGACGCUGAGGCACGAAAGCCGGGGGAGCAAACGGG